ACUUAAAAAAGCACAGUGUUGCACUCAAAGCUUUCCUCAUAUGUCAGAUUGUUUUCUCCGGACUGACUCCAAGAAGCAAAGACAAUGACCUCCGCCAAGGAAUGGUAACCGUUAAUUAGCCAUCAGUCUUGCUGGUUGCUUCCGCCUCUGAAUUAAGGCCUCAGCUAUGCAGCCAAAGGAACCGGCUCUUAAUCCUGCCUCAGCCUCUUCAGCUGACUUCAGGACCUGCAUGAACCCGAGAGAACCAAGUCCUGCAAGUUGUCCUCUGACCUCUACCUGGAUGCUGCGGCACUCGUGCUCCAAGAGCCGUGAAGCAUGUGCCUCACGUGGGUCUCAGGGAUCAAACUCAAGUUUGGCAG